UUUUUGGUCACCUGACUUCCCUUUGGUGUUGCAGAGAUCAUUCUGAAGCCUCCAUCGUGGCUGGUCAUAGCUGUAGAAGCCUCCUAUGAGCCACUCUGCUCAUGUUUCAUGACGCGGUUUACUCGGAAUUAUGGGCCUUAGUUUUACGCAACGCCACGCUAACUGAAGUGCUGCUGCUUUGCUUUGCUUUUACCGUCUGUUCCCGUUGCAAGGUUUCUUUUCCUGCUGGUGCCAGCUUUUUAAAGUGGAUGUCAGCGUGGACAGCGGCCAUAUGCAUGCCAGUUAUGGGAGUAAGCUAGCGUACAUAUUGAUUGACCGGAUGAUUAACUUAUAGUCGGGCAGACGGCAAGUUGGAGCAAUACGGCGAUUCCGUUUGCUCCAGAUUUUAAAGUUUUAUUCAGAUUGUAUGUUGUUUUUAUGUUGUUUUGAUUUGGAGUUUUGAUUUUUGUUACGCCACUGGUGGGAGGCCCUUUUUCUAACUGCAGAUCACCAGUGUGGUCCUGCAGUUGGGUUAUCCCCCAGCGCUACAUAUUAGUUUUGUUGUAAUAUAUUAAAAUUUUCUUUUUUUCUUUUAUUCAGAUGUGGAGUGCUGACGUGGAGGAGACUAGGGUGCCUUGGUGGUGGGAUCCUUUGAGUGCACACACCUGCCUUGUUUAGUUUAUUAGUGUGAGUGUGUGAUUUUGUGUUGCACUUGUGUCUUGGUGUGUUUUCUUGUUUUUUUUUUUGAGUUGUACGCAGCAUCCCUGCCCCUCCACUGGUAAGCCUCAGCUCUGAAUA